ensembl:lincRNA
GCAUGACAUUUUGAUGCUUUCUUUACAUUUUCUUUACAGAUAUCCAAGAAUUUUACGAGGUGACAUUGCUAAAUUCUCAAAAAAGUUGUGAGCAGAAGAUAGAAGAAGCCAAUCAAGUUUUACAGAAAUGGGAGAAGACAUCCCUUCUUGCUCCGUGCCAUGACAGACUUCAAAAAUCUUCAGAGCUUACAGAUUGCAGUGGACCAAAGGAAAAUGCUUCAUGUAUUGAGCAAAAUAAAGAAAAUCAGUGUUUUGAAAAUGAAACUGAUGAGACGACAACUCAAAACCAAGGCAGAUGCCCAGCCCAGAAUUGUUCAGUGGAAGCCCCUGCUUGGAUGCCUGUCCACCACUGUACUGUAAGUUUGAUUAUUCCAAGAUUGGCCAGAUGGAAGGAUAAAUGCUUUUAUAUUUUGGAAUAAUCUUAGUGGAAUGAGC